CUUUUUGCCAUUUCUUUGGGCCGCUCCCGCGGCAUAUGGAGGUUCCCAGGCUAGGGGUCCAAUUGGAGCUGUAGCCACCGGCCUACGCCAGAGCCACAGCAACGCGGGAUCCAAGCCGCGUCUGCAGCCUACACCACCGCUCACAGCAACACUGGAUCCUUAACCCGCUGAGCAAGGCCAGGGAUCGAACCCGCAACCGCAUAGUUCCUAGUCGGAUUCGUUAACCACUGAGCCACGACAGGAACUCCUCUUCUUAAAAGGACACUAGUCCUAUAGGAUUAAAAGCCCUUCCUACUCCAGUGUGACCCCAUCUUAACUAGUUACAUCUGCAAUCACCCAUUUCUUUUUUUUUUGCUUUUUAGGGCCGCACGCUCGGCAAAUGGAGGUUCCCAGGCGCAGGGUCUAAUUGGAACUGCAGCUCCGGUCUACGCCAGAACCACAGCAACUCAGGAUCCAAGCCACAUCUGCAACCUACACCACAGCUCACAGCAACGCCGGAUCCUUAACCCACUGAGCGAAGCCAGAGAUCAAACCUGCAGCCUCAUGGUUCCUAGUCGGAAACAUUCCCGAUGCACCACAAUGGGAACUCUUAUUCAUUUUGUUGAUUCCGGGUCAGGGAUCGAACCCACGCCAUAGCAGCAACCCAAGCUGCUGCAGUGACAAUGCCAGAUCUUUAACCACUAGCCCAGCAGGGAGCUUCUCUCCUCUUUUUCUGGUUUUUUUUUUGUUUGUUUUUUUCUUGUUUUUUGUUUUUUUUUUUGUCUUUUUGCCAUUUCUUGGGCCACUCCCAAGGCAUAUGGAGGUUCCCAGGAUAGGGGUCAAAACGGAGUUGUAGCUGCCGGCCUACACCACAGCCCCAGCCAUGCCAGAUCCGAGCCAUGUCUGCAACCUACACCACAGCUCACGGCAACGCCAGAUCGUUAACCCACUGAGCAAGGGCAGGGACCGAACCCGCAACCUCAUGGCUCGUAGUCGGAUUUGUUAACCACUGCGCCACGACGGGAACUCCCCGAUUUCUAAAUAAGCCUACAUAAUGGAGCUUCCAGAGGUUAAGACAUUAACACAUCAUUGUGGGGAACACAGUUCAAGCCACAACACUGACCUUGGCCCCUGGUCCCUCUGCCUUAUCCCAGUGCUGGGACCCCUACAGAAAGAUGGGGGUCCUGCCGCCGAGCCAUGACGCACACGGGGAGACUGAGGUUUGUGGUGGGGGGCAGUGCGGGGAGCCGGCCAGUCCCCCUUGGCACUCCUCCCCUGAUCGGAGGGCCUCGGUCAGUAGCUGCUGGGACUUGGGGGGUUUCCUCUGGUCAAGGGCAGGGCAGGCUGGCAGGAGUGGGAGGGUCGGUUGCCCACCCAGCACCCGUGACGGGCAGGGGUGGUUUCCUCUGAGGCCCCUCUCGUUGGCUUGUGGAGGCCACCUUCUCCCUGCGGCUUCACGUGGCCGUCCCUCUGAGUGUGCACGUUUAUAUCCUGGUUUCUUCUUUUUUUCUUUUUUCUAUUUGCGUGUGUGUGUGUGUCUUUUUAGGGCCACACCCACAGCAUAUGGAGGUUCCCAGGCUAGGGGUCCAAUCGGAGCUACAGGUGCCGGCCUGCACCACAGCCACAGCCACUCAGGAUCCAAGCCGCAUCCUCCACCCACACCACAGCUCACAGCCACGCCGGAUCCUUAACCCACGGAGCGAGGCCAGGGAUCGAACCUGCAGCCUCAUGGUUCCUAGUCGGAUUCAUUCCCGAUGCACCACAAUGGGAACUCUCAUUUAUUUUGUUGAUCCCAGGUCAGGGAUCGAACCCACGCCACAGCAGCAACCCAAGCUGCUGCAGUGACAAUGCCAAUGCCAGAUCUUUAACCCCCUGGGCCACAAGAGAACUCCCCCUGGUUUCUUCUUAUAAGGACGCCAACCUAUUGGACUGCGCCCACCCGAAUGACCUCAUUUUAGCUUCAUUACCUCUUUAAAGGCCCCUUCUCCAAAUAUGGUCUGAGGCCCGGGGGGCUAGGACUCCAACUUGGGAAUUCUGGGGAGACCCAGUUCAGCCUGUCUCCGGCCAGUCGGGCUGCUGUAACCACGGAGCUGCAGACGGGGCGUCUCAGACAACACACCCUGUUUAAUUCUCCCAGUUCUGGAGGCUGCGAGUUCAAGUUCAAGGUGCCGGCAGGUUUGGUGUCUGGAGGACCCGCUUCCUGAGUCACAGACGGCUGUUUCUCGCUGCGUCCACACGCGGGAGGAGACAAGGUCUUCUCUGGGGUCCCUCUCACCUGGUCACUUAUCGCAUUGGUGAGGGCGCCACCAUCAUAACUUAAUCACCCCAGAUACCAUCGCCUGUGCGGGUGAUGGAUUUGGGGGCCACAGACAUUCUGAAGCCCUUUGCUGUGUUAUCAUUCCCCCCGCUGUGCCCAGCCCAGAAGACCUCGGCAAAUGAAUGGAAUGACAAUAUUUUGGGUGGGGCUUUCAAGGAUGAAUAGGAGUUCGCAAGGCAGAGUCGGGCAUUCCAGGCUGAAAGAACAGCCUAUGCCGAGGCCCAGAGGGCCCCCAGGGUCUGCCUGGCUCAGGGGUGGCAUGUUGGGCCUGGGGGAGGGGAGAGAGUCACACAAGGCCUCUUGGCUGGUUUCCCGACCCAGGAAACCAGCCACCCCAGGUCAGCACACGGGACAGUGGCCAUGAGCGGCCCACGGCGGCCCCGCCGACCUCCUGGGCACGAGCUGGGUCUGGUCCACGAGCAGCAGGGCCCCGUCGCCUCAGCCCACGGCAGCCCGGCUCAGGUGACUUCAGCCACAUCGUCGCACACGAGGUACAAAUUACGUGUCAGCUCAGUUCGCCAUCAGUCGGAGGCUGUCCCCACACAUCAAGCCAUGGAGGCUCCAAAGGCCCCGGAGACCACGUCUGGCUGGAGUGGCUUCUUUGAUGGCUCAACAGCAAGCGACAGCAUAGACGGUGUCCAAGUCUGGCCAGGCCUUCAAGACGGGCAGCUUCUUCUUUUUGCCUCUUGGGGGACACGCUUGGAACCCAGCCACCAUGCUGUGAGGAAGCCCAAGCCCGAGGAGAGGCCCAUAUGGAAGGGGACCUCGGGUCACCAGCCUGCAUCCACGUGAGCCCCUUGCAGGUGGGUGUCCAGCCCCGACCCCCGUCCCAGCAGAUGCCAUGUGGAGCACUGGCAAUCGGCCCAAACUGCAGACUCACGAGCAAAAUAAAUGACUGUCAUUGUUUCAAGCCACUAGUGUUGGGGUGGCUUGUUAUUGCAGCAAUAGAUGAAGAAAACAGGGGGUUCGGAUGAGAAGAACUGAGAAUACGCUUCCUAAACUUGCCACAGGAAGCCUACACUCCCGUCCAUCCAUCUUCCAGACUCGCCCUGUGGGUACCAUUUCAGUGGUCGCUAAGUGCUGGGAAAUGUUUGACGCAGGGGUGGCCAGGACGGAAGCCCCGAGUUCCGGCAUCUGCCAGUCUCCAUGGUGCAAACACCCCUGGCUUGGAGACUUGUAUACAGAGGUGGGCAGAGACGGAGGUGCCAGCAAAGGUUAGAACGAAGCUCCUAUAAGCAUCCAAAAAUAUCUCCCUCGUUUCGUGCUGCCCAAGACUCCUGCCAUGUCUCCAAUCAAGACAUGGCAUCCAUGCCCCCUCCUCUUGGCUCGGGGUUUGUGACGUGCUUGUAACCAGUAGACUGUGGCAGAAGUCCCACUGAGUGAAUGCAAUGGCAGCUCUUGCCUAAUUCCCUGGGAUACCACCUGCUGAGCCUGGAGCUGCCACGCACAACGCUGUGCCCCCUGUGGCUGCCAUGUUGCGAGGAAGCCCAAGCCACCUGAGGACUGCAAGUAGGUGUCGCAGCCGACAGCUGCAGGCGUGGGCCCGGGCAACUGCAAUCCCCAGCCACAGACAGAUGCCCUCAGAGGAUCCAUAGCAGGUUUCCUCUGCCCUUGAGCUUUCCCAGCCGAGCCCCCAGUCAUCAUGGACCAGACAACAGGUCAGCUCUACCGGGCCCUUCCCCAGUGCUUGGCCCAGAGAGCCACAAGCAGAAUAAAAUGGCUUAGGACACUAGGUGUUGGAGUCACUUGUCACACAGCCGUACUAACUCACUCAGUGCUCCCGAAUCCUGAGUCCUUCUCACCCUCAUUGUCUGGCACCUUCUCUUUUCCUGUCCAACCAUCCUGGGUACCACCCCACCCUGCGGCUCUGUGGCCAGCAGGAAGCUCGGGCUGGCGCCCCAUGACUGCUCUCCAGGGCGUUCAGCUCCCAGAGUCAGCAGGUCACAGCCCAAGGGCCCAGGCGGGGGAGGUGGAACCCUCCACCGUGCUUGGGGCCCCCGCUAGCAAAUCAGACCCUCCAUCCUCACCAGUGGCCUCUCCAGCUGCCCAGCGCUGUGUUCACCAGCCUCUUCAAGGCCAAGGGCUUCCCAGGAGGCCCAGUGGGACGUGAGACGUCCAUCACCGUGGUGCGAGGAGCUGCGCCCGGGCUCCAACCUGACCCAGCCCUGCCUGGCUGUCUAUGUGUGACCAAGCCCCCGACACCCAUGCUGGGAUGUGGGAACAAUAGGGCUCAGGGACCAGCUCCCUCGCCGGGAACCAGGACGUCAGGCUACUCCCCAUGCUUCCCAUGCCCAGGCUCCAUCAUUUGCUCAACAGAUCAUCUCGGACCACUCGCCGGCCCUGGGCCCUCUGGAGACACACGGGCAUAACCCUGGUCCCCGCGCUCAGGGAGCCCCGUCGGUGGGGGAGACAGACGUGAGCCAGGUGGCCGUGGCAGGGACAAGACAGGGGCACACGGGAUGACACGGCCAGUCUGUGGGGGCCGCAGGGAAAGCCACAAACAGCCUGGAUACCAACAAGUACAGCAUCCCAGGGGAGAGGCUGCAGGACGGAACUUUUUUUUUUGUUUUUUUGCCUUUUGAGGGCUGCUCCUGUGGCAUAUGGAGGUUCCAAGGCUAGGGGUCCAAUCUGAACU